rnacentral:rRNA from 1 species
UACGGAGGGUGCAAGCGUUGCUCGGAAUUAUUGGGCGUAAAGCGUAUGUAGGCGGUUUUUUAAGUCUGAUGUGAAAUCCCAGGGCUUAACUCUGGAACUGCAUUGGAUACUGGAAAGCUAGAGGACGAUAGAGGAUGGUGGAAUUCCUGGUGUAGGGGUGAAAUCCGUAGAUAUCAGGAGGAACAUCAGUGGCGAAGGCGGCCAUCUGGAUCGUACCUGACGCUGAGAUACGAAAGCGUGGGGAGCAAACAGG